UUACGGCCAUAUCACGUUGAAACACCGGAUCCCGUACGAUCACUGAAGUUAAGCAACCUUGGGUCUGGUUAGGGCCUAGAUGAGAGACCGCUUGGGAAUAUCAGGUCUUGUA